rnacentral:lncRNA from 1 species
AGGCGCCGUCGUACGCCGGACCAACGGUAAAUCAUAACAUCAACUAGUUUCUGGAAAGGCGGCGGGGAAAGGAGCAUCCAUACGCGCACGCAAUUAGACCCCCGCCGUGAGAUGCGUCGGUGGCUGUGAGGCAGGUGGGGACAUGCCUGGGAGGCUGAAAGGGCUUCCGGACGCAUAAAUCGCACCAGGCGCCGUCGUACGCCGGACCAACGAUGCAUCAUAACAUCAACUAGUUGCUAGAAAGGCGGCAGGAAAGGACCAUCCAUACGCGCACGCAAUUAGACCCCCGCCGUGAGAUGCGUCGGUGGCUGUGAGGCAGGUGGGGACAUGCCUGGAGGCUGAAAAGGCUUCCGGACGCAUAAAUCGCACCAGGCGCCGUCGUACGCCGGACCAACGGUAAAUCAUAACAUCAACUAGUUUCUGGAAAGGCGGCGGGGAAAGGAGCAUCCAUACGCGCAUGCAAUUAGACCCCCGCCGUGAGAUGCGUCGGUGCCUGUGAGGCAGGCGAGGACAUGCCUGGGAGGCUGAAACAACAAUACACCGCUGAGUCCAUUCAGUCGUGCCAUUCAGUCGCUGCCUCCAAUGCCCUCCCAGCCCUGACCGCCUUACGGGGGUAAAAGUUGUCCCCAGAUGUCCCCUGAUGAUGAAUUUGGGCGGCAUGCACUGGGAGACGUCGGAGACGUCGGACAUGAGCCGAGCAGCUUUUUGCUGGUUGUCGUUCCCAGACCUGCCCCAAUCGCCGAUGACGUAGAAGACCAGGUCUGUCUUGCUGGGGUCGUAGCUGCGUGGACAAACAUAGUCUAGCUUCCGGCGGCUUAAGCCCCAUGCGAGGCCGAUAAUGAGCGCCACUAGGCCGAGGGAGCCAAUCGCGAUUAGCACGCCGACAAAAACCUUUCGUUCCCUCAGCUGGUGCUCGUAUGUAUUUCGCGAGCGCCCAGCCUUCUCUACGCCGCUGAUGAAGAAGCGCUCCUCCUCUUCUAGGUCAAAUCCGGUGCGCAGAGCUUGCGACCCCAUCUUCCAGGAGACAAGCACGCUUUAGUCCGGUUAGCGCAUUCUUAAAGAAAGAAUGUAUUCGGAUUGUUUUUGCCUUGGGACGGUUGGCAGCGCUGCCUCUACGGUGGAAACAGCAAACUUUGCUUUAAGGAGAAAUAUUCCAACAUGCAGCUGGGCGCUCCAAGCCAACAAAACGGUAAGCAACCCCAGCUGCAGUUUGCUGGGGUAUUGCUCGCUAGUAGAUACCACAAUGCAUGGUUGGUGUCUUUCCUCGAGCGGUUAACUGUUUUGCACGAACGGCAACGAACCAUUUCCUUUGUUGAACUAUGUGGCGANNNNNNNNNNNNNNNNNNNNNNNNNNNNNNNNNNNNNNNNNNNNNNNNNNNNNNNNNUGGGACACAUGAACCAACACACAAAUAAUGGUGCUGCUCUAUCUAUGAUGGAUCGUCUUUUGUAAUAAAAUCAUGCUUUUAAAGGUUUCCCUUGGCUCCCGCUCAUUCCUAGCAUGAUUGCAUGUCGGUGGCCAGGUGGUCUUGGGGGGGAUGUGCGGGGUUUCCAUAAAUCGCAUCAGGCGCCGUCGUACGCCGGACCAACGAUGCAUCAUAACAUCAACUAGUUGCUAGAAAGGCGGCGGGGAAAGGAGCAUCCAUACGCGCACGCAAUUAGACCCCCGCCGUGAGAUGCGUCGGUGGCUGUGAGGCAGGUGGGGACAUGCCUGGGAGGCUGAAAGGGCUUCCGGACGCAUAAAUCGCAUCAGGCACCGUCGUACGCCGGACCAACGAUGCAUCAUAUCAUCAACUAGUUACUAGAAAGGCGGCGGGGAAAGGAGCAUCCAUACGCGCACGCAAUUAGACCCCCGCCGUGAGAUGCGUCGGUGGCUGUGAGGCAGGUGGGGACAUGCCUGGAGGCUGAAAGGGCUUCCGGACGCAUAAAUCGCAUCAGGCGCCGUCGUACGCCGGACCAACGAUGCAUCAUAACAUCAACUAGUUGCUAGAAAGGCGGCGGGGAAAGGAGCAUCCAUACGCGCACGCAAU